ANCCCGCUGAAUUUAAGCAUAUAAGUAAGUGGUGGAAGAAAAAAUAAACAUGAUUCUUUUAGUAAUGGCGAAUGAACAAAGACAUGGUCAUUUUGAAAAUUGUGGUCUUAGAUCAUGAAUUGUAUUUUCAAAAUGCAUUGCUAACACAACUGCGCAUGUUUGUUUAUUGGAAAGAACAUCACAAAGGGUGACAAUCCCAUGUGUCAUGUGUAUGUUUUGUGUACAGCGUGCAUUAUAUGAAUCACAUUCAUUGACAAUUGAAUGCAAAUAGAAUGGUAAAUUUCAUUUAAUCAUAAAUAUGUUGUUGACAACUUAUAGCAAACAAAUACCAUGAGGGAAAUGUGAAAAGGAUUUUGAAAAGAAAAUUAAAAGAGCUUGCAAUUGCUGAACUGAUAAGCAAACAAAACAUACGUGUGUAUGCAAGAUUGUUGUAAUGCUUAGCAUCUUAUGCAAGGCUAUUGCAAUGAUUUUUUGUAUAGUGAUGCUACCUUUUUUUAGAAUUUGGAAUGUCUUUUUUUGAGUGUGAAUGGAAUUUUGUUUGUUAGCAAAGGAAUGCACUUUUAGAUUCAUUGUUUGAUUUGAUUUAAAAAUGUKUGUGACACAUGUCUUUGUUUUGGUUUCAUGCUUCAACCAAGACAUUGUGUUUGAUCCAGUCAGC
rnacentral:rRNA from 1 species